ACCUUCGUGGUGUAGUAGUCAGCACGCUCGACGCGUGUUCGUGAGGGUCUUGGUUCGAUUCCCGGCGAAGGCG
rnacentral:tRNA from 1 species